UGGGGAAUAUUGGACAAUGGGCGAAAGCCUGAUCCAGCCAUGCCGCGUGAGUGACGAAGGCCUUAGGGUUGUAAAACUCUUUCGUCGGGGACGAUAAUGACGGUACCCGAAGAAGAAGCUCCGGCUAACUUCGUGCCAGCAGCCGCGGUAAUACGAAGGGAGCUGGCGUUGUUCGGAAUCACUGGGCGUAAAGCGCACGUAGGCGGAUAGUUAAGUCAGGGGUGAAAUCCUGGGGCUCAACCCCAGAACUGCCUUUGAUACUGGCUGUCUCGAGGUCGAGAGAGGUUGGUGGAAUUCCUAGUGUAGAGGUGAAAUUCGUAGAUAUUAGGAAGAACACCAGUGGCGAAGGCGGCCAACUGGCUCGAUACUGACGCUGAGGUGCGAAAGCGUGGGGAGCAAACAGGAUUAGAUACCCAAGUAGUCCCUGAGCGGGCUGGCAAGGCGCAU
rnacentral:rRNA from 1 species